rnacentral:rRNA from 1 species
AAUGUCUGGGAAACUGCCAGAUGGAGGGGGAUAACUACUGGAAACGGUAGCUAAUACCGCAUAACGUCGCAAGACCAAAGAGGGGGACCUUCGGGCCUCUUGCCAUCAGAUGUGCCCAGAUGGGAUUAGCUAGUAGGUGGGGUAACGGCUCACCUAGGCGACGAUCCCUAGCUGGUCUGAGAGGAUGACCAGCCACACUGGAACUGAGACACGGUCCAGACUCCUACGGGAGGCAGCAGUGGGGAAUAUUGCACAAUGGGCGCAAGCCUGAUGCAGCCAUGCCGCGUGUAUGAAGAAGGCCUUCGGGUUGUAAAGUACUUUCAGCGGGGAGGAAGGUGUUGUGGUUAAUAACCGCAGCAAUUGACGUUACCCGCAGAAGAAGCACCGGCUAACUCCGUGCCAGCAGCCGCGGUAAUACGGAGGGUGCAAGCGUUAAUCGGAAUUACUGGGCGUAAAGCGCACGCACGCGGUCUGUCAAGUCCGAUGUGAAAUCCCCGAGGCUCAACCUGGGAGCUGCAUUC